rnacentral:rRNA from 1 species
AUACGAUCAUAUACCAGUACUAAUGCACCGGAUCCCAUUAAAACUCCGAAGUUAAACGUGCUUGAGCGAUAGUAGUACUAAAAUAUCGAUUUAUCAUAUU